UACGAGUGCCCCAAGCGUUAUCCGGAAUCAUUGGGCGUAAAGGGUGUGUAGGUGGUUUGGUUAGUCUUCUGUAAAAAUCUCGAGCUCAACUCGAGACCUGCGGGAGAAACGGCCAGACUAGAGGGUGCGAGGGGUGAAUGGAACUCAUGGAGUAGGGGUGAAAUCCGUUGAUAUCAUGGGGAACACCAAAAGCGAAGGCAAUUCACUGGCGCAUUCCUGACACUGAGACACGAAAGCGUGGGUAGCGAACGGG
rnacentral:rRNA from 1 species